UGAUGGUGAAGUCCCUUGCGGAUGGAGCUGACGAGAGUCGCAGAUACCAGGUGGCUGCAACUGUUUAUUAAAAACACAGCACUGUGCAAAAUCGUAAGAUGACGUAUACGGUGUGACGCCUGCCCGGUGCCGGAAGGUUAAUUGAUGGGGUUAGACUUCGGUCGAAGCUCUUGAUCGAAGCCCCGGUAAACGGCGGCCGUAACUAUAACGGUCCUAAGGUAGCGAAAUUCCUUGUCGGGUAAGUUCCGACCUGCACGAAUGGCGUAAUGAUGGCCACGCUGUCUCCACCCGAGACUCAGUGAAAUUGAAAUCGCUGUGAAGAUGCAGUGUACCCGCGGCUAGACGGAAAGACCCCGUGAACCUUUACUACAGCUUGGCACUGAACAUUGACCCUACAUGUGUAGGAUAGGUGGGAGGCUUUGAAGCACGUACGCCAGUAUGUGUGGAGCCGUCCUUGAAAUACCACCCUUGUAGUGUUGAUGUUCUAACGUUGACCCCUUAUCGGGGUUGCGGACAGUGCCUGGUGGGUAGUUUGACUGGGGCGGUCUCCUCCCAAAGAGUAACGGAGGAGCACGAAGGUGGGCUAAUCACGGUUGGACAUCGUGAGGUUAGUGCAAUGGCAUAAGCCCGCUUGACUGCGAGAAUGACAAUUCGAGCAGGUGCGAAAGCAGGUCAUAGUGAUCCGGUGGUUCUGAAUGGAAGGGCCAUCGCUCAACGGAUAAAAGGUACUCCGGGGAUAACAGGCUGAUACCGCCCAAGAGUUCAUAUCGACGGCGGUGUUUGGCACCUCGAUGUCGGCUCAUCACAUCCUGGGGCUGAAGUCGGUCCCAAGGGUAUGGCUGUUCGCCAUUUAAAGUGGUACGCGAGCUGGGUUUAGAACGUCGUGAGACAGUUCGGUCCCUAUCUGCCGUGGGCGUUGGAAGAUUGAAGGGGGCUGCUCCUAGUACGAGAGGACCGGAGUGGACGAACCUCUGGUGUUCGGGUUGUGUCGCCAGACGCAUUGCCCGGUAGCUAAGUUCGGAAUCGAUAACCGCUGAAAGCAUCUAAGCGGGAAGCGAGCCCUGAGAUGAGUCUUCCCUGAUACUUUAAGUAUCCUAAAGGGUUGUCGGAGACUACGACGUUGAUAGGUCAGGUGUGUAAGUGCUGUGAGGCAUUGAGCUAACUGAUACUAAUUGCCCGUGAGGCUUAACCAUACAACACCCAAGGGGUUU
rnacentral:rRNA from 1 species